AGAAUACAGGUUGCCUGGUAACUUUGGCCCAAUGGGAGAGCGCGCGGGUAUACAUCACAAGCUUGCCAGUUUAAAUUAUUGAAUCUUAACGUCGAAUCAGCCGACAUUUCUAGAGUUUGAUGCUCGUAGUUUUGGGUUUGUUCUCGUUUUAAACGCCCGAAGAGUUUGCAUUGAUAUUUUUAGGAAUACGUUGUAAUUUACAUUCUCUCACAGACAACCGCACGCUCACAGUAACAAAAGUUUCAGUUAAGGAUAUGCACUAGAGACGAGACACAAGCGAAUAAAUAAAUUUAUAAAAAGUGAAAUCCAACAGUUCUGGCUAGACAAGGAUAAUAUCUGCACACGAAAUGGAAAGUUGGAAUCAGCCGGGUUUUGUUCACUUAAAGUAAACCGAAGUGCGGUCCAUAAACACAACCUGGAUCACACAGAAGAUGGCUUGGUAAAAAAUCCGCUUUUUAUAGCAACCAGGAAAUAUAUCGAAAUUGAAAUUCAAAAUUGGCUCAGGCAUGCGCCGGAUAACUCAAAAGGGACAAAAAUUGCAAUUAACACUUUAAUAUUAUAGUUCGGUUUCGGAUAGAAGAGCAAAUUUCGAUUCAUAGCAAAAAUAAGUUUAGUUUGUAAUACGUAAACGUAUUUUGUUAUUGGUUCAGUAUUUUGUUUCUUUUAAAUUGGUUCCACCCUAAAUUUUCCAAAUUAUAAAGCUGCCUUCAACGUUUUUCGAAAGUUGAAAGUUUGAAAAAUUAUUUUUAGAAAGACAACCUAGCAAUAAUUUGACGGUUGACUAUUAACCUAAGAACGUUUCACAAAUGUCCUCGAAACAACCCGUCUAUAAUCCCAGUGAUGUCCCAAAUGACCUUUACGGGAUCAUCCCAUACAUGACCCGAACAGUCCCAAAAGUAAGUCCCACGUAAAUAUGGGGACGUCCCGGGACUUAAACCUAUAUCCUGUAAUGCCGUC